UACGAAGGGGGCUAGCGUUGCUCGGAAUCACUGGGCGUAAAGGGUGCGUAGGCGGGUCUUUAAGUCGGGGGGGAAAUCCUGGAGCUCGACUCCAGAACUGCCUUUGAUACUGAGGAUCUUGAGUUCGGGAGAGGUGAGUGGAACUGCGAGUGUAGAGGUGAAAUUCGUAGAUAUUCGCAAGAACACCAGUGGCGAAGGCGGCUCACUGGCCCGAUACUGACGCUGAGGCACGAAAGCGUGGGGAGCAAACAGG
rnacentral:rRNA from 1 species